UACGAACCGUGCGAACGUUAUUCGGAAUCACUGGGCUUAAAGCGCGUGUAGGCGGAAGGGCACGUCUGGUGCUGAAAUCCCCCGGCUCAACCGGGGAACGGGCACGGAUACGACUCUUCUGGAGGAACGUAGGGGGACCUGGAACUUCCGGUGGAGCGGUGAAAUGCGUUGAGAUCGGAAGGAACGCCCGUGGCGAAAGCGAGGUCCUGGACGUUUACUGACGCUGAGACGCGAAAGCCAGGGGAGCGAACGGG
rnacentral:rRNA from 1 species